rnacentral:lncRNA from 1 species
AGGUUUCUUGCGAAAAUUAAUUCCUUCAAUAGUCAGCUAACUUGGCAGGAUGCUGUCCUCCACCUCCUUGACGUGAUUCACGUCAAUCUAAAACUCAUCGAGCAUCAUAAAAGAAUGAUCCUUCAUGCUAUUUUAGGUAAUUUAUUUGGAACAAAAAUAUUCGAUGCCAUAGAAUUGUUCUUAGAAAUGAUAGCUGAAUUUUGAGGAGCCAUGGGCUCAUCAUUAUCUCAAUAGCAUGUGUCACUGCUGUCGCCACUUAGUUGAACUCACCACUUUCAGAAGGGCGAGGUACAGGGGUCGAAUUGCUCUAAUCAGCAGCGGCGAGCGCAGGUGCCAGACAUACAAGCACGGCUGACUUCUGCAGCUGUUGAGUAGAUUGUUCACUGUAUUUAGCAACAAACAUAGUUCCAGAUUCCUCGUAUUCCCAUGGCCUAUUAUGUGGACAUCUCCGGUCCAACACAUGGUUUGCCCAUUGAGGUCUGGCCUCUUUUGCAGGUCAACAUCAGUUGAGUUGAGUUUAUUUGGUGCUGCUAGAAACAAUUUUAUGUACUACAUGCAAGUAGAUGAACUAAGCUAGGCACAACUGUUGUUUCGGCGUCGAGCAAUGCAGGAGGCAGCAGAAAGUCUCUCUUAUAUAUAAGCAGGGACAUGCAUGCAUGACUCUGGCUGAUGUCCAUGGUUCCAUCGAUUUGGUUCAUCUCACCUAACGUCUGACAUGGAUAUACAUGGCCAGUCAGUCCCGCCUGCAUGUGUGUAUCUCUCUUUCUCUCUCUCUCUCUCUCUCUCUCUAUACCGGAAUCUCCAGUUCAGGAGAUGAGACAAUUUUGUUAUAAAGAUAAGAAACCAGGAGGUCCGAUUUUAGUAAACCAGCUUCUUGUACUAGACAGAUUGGAUUGAGUUGGAUAUGGCUUGUUUCACUAGUACAUAAAUCUCAUCACUGCGGGUUCAUAACCCAUUUGCACUGUCCAUUUCAUGCAUUGCCAGUAAAUUAAGGCCUUGUUCGGCAGCUUGGGAUCCAAUCCAGGAGAUAAUUCAGUCCAGGCCAGGAAUCAGUUGAUCCACUUGGUGGCACUCAUUCCAGGCCUGGGUUUUACUCCUCAGGGGAACCAAUCGAGGAGGCUCCAAUUUGCUGUUCGGUUUGGCCAGGGAUCCAUCUAGGACUGCUAACAGCAUGUACACAUACAUAUCCAAGCAUUUAACUAACACAACAGAAUACGAUCUUCAAACAAUUCAAAUUACCAUGCAAAGCAAACCCAACAUAAAUUUCACAACCUGAAUACCUGAUAAACAGAUUGCACAGACACACAAGCAUUUUACUGUUUGGCAGUAGGCUUGAAACUAGGACAAUAUACCAGGAACUUGCACGGACACACAAACUGAACUAUCUAGCACCAACGUUACAAGAUUAUAAAAUAAAAAGAUCAUUGCUACUGAUGACGUUAUUGAGACACCAAAGUAUACUUGCAGAUUAUGGUCUUGUACUACUCAAAACUUAACUAGAUGGCAUUCUUUAUGUUGUCAUGCUGAGCUACUUCAUGUUCUCAAACUCAGGUGUUGUCGCUGUCUGAGAUUUGUAUCUGGCCUUUGCAUCACUCCUGACCUUGGAAAGCCUCCUCAUCCUACAAUUACAAAUCAAGAGCAAACAGUUACUCCAAGGUUACAAAAAAUAUAUUCAUAUCAUAAUGCCAAUUAUUAGAAAAAGAACAAAAAUGACAU